rnacentral:tRNA from 1 species
GGGUCGAUAGCUCAGUCGGUAGAGCAGAGGAUUGAAAAUCCUUGUGUCGCGGGUUCAAUUCCCGCUCUUCCCACCA